rnacentral:rRNA from 1 species
UACGGAGGGUGCAAGCGUUAUCCGGAUUCACUGGGUUUAAAGGGUGCGUAGGUGGGUUGGUAAGUCAGUGGUGAAAUCUCCGAGCUUAACUCGGAAACUGCCAUUGAUACUGCGGUGCUUGAGGACUGGAGAGGAGACUGGAAUUUACGGUGUAGCAGUGAAAUGCGUAGAGAUCGUAAGGAAGACCAGUGGCGAAGGCGGGUCUCUGGACAGUUCCUGACGCUGAGGCACGAAGGCCAGGGGAGCAAACGGG